rnacentral:rRNA from 1 species
UACGUAGGGUGCGAGCGUUGUCCGGAAUUAUUGGGCGUAAAGGGCUCGUAGGCGGUCUGUCACGUCGGGUGUGAAAACUCGGGGCUUAACUCCGAGCCUGCUUCUGAUACGGGCAGACUAGAGGUAUGCAGGGGAGAAUGGAAUUCCUGGUGUAGCGGUGAAAUGCGCAGAUAUCUGGAGGAACACCGGUGGCGAAGGCGGCAUCCUGGACCGAUAUUGACGCUGAUGCGCGAAAGCCAGGGGAGCAAACGGG